CGAUGAAAGGUGCAAACCGCUCAAAGAUAAGCCUGCGUCCUAUUAGCUUGUUGGUGAGGUAACGGCUCACCAAGGCGACGAUGGGUAGCUGGUCUGAGAGGAUGGUCAGCCACAUUGGGACUGAGACACUGCCCAAACUCCUACGGGAGGCUGCAGUCGAGAAUAUUUCGCAAUGGGGGAAACCCUGACGAUGCGACGCCGCGUGGAGGAUGAAUGCCUUCGGGUUGUAAACUCCUUUUCUAAGAGACGAAGAUCUGACUGUAUCUUAGGAAUAAGCCCCAGCUAACUACGUGCCAGCAGCUGCGGUAAGACGUAGGGGGCAAGCGUUGUCCGGAAUUACUGGGCGUAAAGCGUGCGCAGGCGGCCAUGUAAGUCAAGUAUGAAAUCGAUUGGCUCAACCAAUCAACUGUGCUCGAAACUACAUGGCUUGAGUACGAGAGGGGAAAGCGGAAUGUACAGUGUAGCGGUGAAAUGCGUAGAGAUUGUACAGAACACCCACGGCGAAGGCAGCUUUCUGGCUCGAUACUGACGCUCAGGCACGAAAGUUAGGGGAGCGAAAGGGAUUAGAUACCCCUGUAGUCCUAACCGUAAACGAUGGGUACUAAGUAUAGGAGGGAUUACCCUUCUGUGCUGUAGCUAACGCAUUAAGUACCCCGCCUGAGGAUUACGGCCGCAAGGUUAAAACUCAAGGUAAUUGACGGGAGGCCGCACAAGCGGUGGAGCAUGUCGCUUAUAUUCGAAGCAACGCGAAGAACCUUACCAGGGCUUGACAUCCUUUGACCGCCAUAGAAAUAUGGUUUUCCCUUCGGGGACAAAGUGACAGGUGCUGCAUGGCUGUCGUCAGCUCGUGUCGUGAGAUGUUGGGUUAAGUCCCGCAACGAGCGCAACCCUUGUUGUUAGUUGCCAGCACGUAAUGGUGGGGACUCUAACGAGACUGCUGGUUAAAAGCCAGAGGAAGGUGGGGAUGACGUCAAGUCCGCAUGGCCCUUAUGCCCUGGGCUGCACACGUGCUACAAUGGCUGGUACAGAGGGUCGCCAACCCGCGAGGGGGAGCCAAUCCUU
rnacentral:rRNA from 1 species